GACGAACGCUGGCGGCGUGCCUAAUACAUGCAAGUCGAGCGAGCGGAACCAACAGAUUUACUUCGGUAAUGACGUUGGGAAAGCGAGCGGCGGAUGGGUGAGUAACACGUGGGGAACCUGCCCCUAAGUCUGGGAUACCAUUUGGAAACAGGUGCUAAUACCGGAUAAGAAAGCAGAUCGCAUGAUCAGCUUUUAAAAGGCGGCGUAAGCUGUCGCUAAGGGAUGGCCCCGCGGUGCAUUAGCUAGUUGGUAAGGUAACGGCUUACCAAGGCAACGAUGCAUAGCCGAGUUGAGAGACUGAUCGGCCACAUUGGGACUGAGACACGGCCCAAACUCCUACGGGAGGCAGCAGUAGGGAAUCUUCCACAAUGGACGCAAGUCUGAUGGAGCAACGCCGCGUGAGUGAAGAAGGUUUUCGGAUCGUAAAGCUCUGUUGUUGGUGAAGAAGGAUAGAGGCAGUAACUGGCCUUUAUUUGACGGUAAUCAACCAGAAAGUCACGGCUAACUACGUG
rnacentral:rRNA from 1 species